rnacentral:rRNA from 1 species
UACGUAGGGUGCGAGCGUUGUCCGGAAUUACUGGGCGUAAAGAGCUCGUAGGUGGUUUGUCGCGUUGUCCGUGAAAACUCACAACUUAAUUGUGGGCGUGCGGGCGAUACGGGCAGACUGGAGUACUGCAGGGGAGACUGGAAUUCCUGGUGUAGCGGUGGAAUGCGCAGAUAUCAGGAGGAACACCGGUGGCGAAGGCGGGUCUCUGGGCAGUAACUGACGCUGAGGAGCGAAAGCGUGGGGAGCGAACAGG